rnacentral:rRNA from 1 species
AUUGAACGCUGGCGGCAGGCCUAACACAUGCAAGUCGAGCGGAUGAAGGGAGCUUGCUCCUGGAUUCAGCGGCGGACGGGUGAGUAAUGCCUAGGAAUCUGCCUGGUAGUGGGGGAUAACGUCCGGAAACGGGCGCUAAUACCGCAUACGUCCUGAGGGAGAAAGUGGGGGAUCUUCGGCCUCACGCUAUCAGAUGAGCCUAGGUCGGAUUAGCUAGUUGGUGGGGUAAAGGCCUACCAAGGCGACGAUCCGUAACUGGUCUGAGAGGAUGAUCAGUCACACUGGAACUGAGACACGGUCCAGACUCCUACGGGAGGCAGCAGUGGGGAAUAUUGGACAAUGGGCGAAAGCCUGAUCCAGCCAUGCCGCGUGUGUGAAGAAGGUCUUCGGAUUGUAAAGCACUUUAAGUUGGGAGGAAGGGCAGUAAGUUAAUACCUUGCUGUUUUGACGUUACCAACAGAAUAAGCACCGGCUAACUUCGUG